GGAAAGGCUUAGUAUUUUAUUUUUCGUCAGUGGGGGAGAUGAGAGGGCUUUUAGAGGUCUGCGUCAUCCCGUGGCCGUGGAAGGAGAUGGGCUACUUUGCAGAUUUUCCACUGUUUUCACAGCCAGAGUCAGCGCGGCACCUCCCCAGCACGUUUUGGAUCACACACAGAAGCGUGUCUUUGUCCCGUCUUCCUCCCUUCACUGCCAAUCAGAUGUCUGGCUGCCCCUGAGCUCGGUUCUGCUGGAGGUUUCUUCCUGUUAAAAGGGUUUUUCCUUCCCACUGUUGCCAAGUGCUUGCUCAUAGGGGAUCGUCUGAUUGCUCGGGCUUUCUCUGUUUUAUUGGACAAAGUGAGGAGCAUGGCUAAGCCUUGUCGCGACCUGUUUAAAGAGCCGCCGGCGCCCGACUGAGGCCAUGAGUUUGGCUGGCUACACUGCAGGCAAGAAUGAGCAAGUGCAUCAGCCCCACAGCAUGGAAAUGGGAGGCAGUCUGCACCUGGCCUCUGCAAGUGUCCACCUGCUCAGGUACAGGCAUUUGGCCACCCACUUAGUCCAUACACAUCCAGAGUGUUCUCAACAGUGGCAGGUAAGAUGAACAAGCUUAUCCGUGUGUGUGCGUGUGUGUAUUUUUACUCUAAUAGAUUAUCGAUGCACUGCUGGGUUGGUUGGCUGCAGCAGACAGUGGAAAUGGGCCUGGCCUCCCCUGAGGAAACGAGAUAUCUCAC
ensembl:lncRNA